ACUCCUACGGGAGGCAGCAGUGAGGAAUAUUGGUCAAUGGUCGCAAGACUGAACCAGCCAUGCCGCGUGCAGGAUGACGGUCCUAUGGAUUGUAAACUGCUUUUGUACGGGAAGAAACACUCCUACGUGUAGGGGCUUGACGGUACCGUAAGAAUAAGGAUCGGCUAACUCCGUGCCAGCAGCCGCGGUAAUACGGAGGAUCCGAGCGUUAUCCGGAAUCAUUGGGUUUAAAGGGUCCGUAGGCGGCCCUGUAAGUCAGCGGUGAAAUCUCCCGGCUCAACCGGGAAACUGCCGUUGAUACUGCAGGGCUUGAAUUGCCGGGAAGUAACUAGGAAUAUGUAGUGUAGCGGUGAAAUGCUUAGAUAUUACAUGGAAUACCGAUUGCGAAGGCAGGUUACUACCGGCGUAUUGACGCUGAUGGACGAAAGCGUGGGGAGCGAACAGGAUUAGAUACCCUGGUAGUC
rnacentral:rRNA from 1 species